GUGGGGAAUAUUGCGCAAUGGGGGAAACCCUGACGCAGCAAUACCGCGUGAGUGAAGAAGGUUUUCGGAUCGUAAAACUCUUUUAUUGGGGAAGAAGAAGUGACGGUACCCAAUGAAGAAGUCCCGGCUAACUACGUGCCAGCAGCCGCGGUAAUACGUAGUGGACAAGCGUUGUCCGGAAUCACUGGGCGUAAAGGGCGCGUAGGCGGUUUUAUAAGUCAGAUGUGAAAGGUACCGGCUCAACCGGUGACGUGCAUUUGAAACUGUAAGACUUGAGUACUGGAGAGGCAAGUGGAAUUCCUAGUGUAGCGGUGAAAUGCGUAGAUAUUAGGAGGAACACCGGUGGCGAAGGCGGCUUGCUGGACAGAUACUGACGCUGAGGUGCGAAAGCGUGGGGAGCGAACAGGAUUAGAAACCCUUGUAGUCC
rnacentral:rRNA from 1 species